rnacentral:rRNA from 1 species
UACGGAGGGUGCAAGCGUUGUCCGGAAUCACUGGGCGUAAAGGGCGCGUAGGCGGCUCGGUAAGUAGGGGGUGAAAUCCUGCGGCUUAACCGCAGGGCUGCCUUCUAAACUGUCGAGCUUGAGCACGGUAGAGGCAGAUGGAAUUCCCGGUGUAGCGAUGGAAUGCGUAGAGAUCGGGAAGAACAUCAGUGGCGAAGGCGGUCUGCUGGGCCGUUGCUGACGCUGAGGCGCGACAGCGUGGGGAGCAAGCAGG